UAAGUAAGUGGUGGAAAUUAAACCAAAUAGGAUAUCUUUAGUAAUUGCGAAUGAACAAGGAUAUGCUUAGCUUGACAAAUGGAGCUAUUGGCUUUGAAUUGUAUUGUGGAAAUGUAUUACCAACAGAGGUGCAGGUGCCAGCCUAUUGAAAUAAAGCGUCAAUGAGGGUGAGAAUCCUGUUUGUCAUGUGCAGCCCUUUGUGCACGGUGUAUAUUUGCUGAGUCACACUCCUUGGCAUUGGAAUGCAAAGUGGGUGGUAAGUUUCAUGUAAAGGUAAACAUGCAAUUGAGACUGAUAGCACACAAGUACCAUGAGGGAAAUAUGAAAAGGACUUUGAAAAGAGAAUUAAAUGAGUUUGUAUUUGCUGAACACAAAGUAAACAGACUUGAUUUGCUUGGUGGGAGUGUUGCACUUGCUUGACAAGAGCUUUGGGCUGUGGGUGUAAUGAUUCUUUCUUUGCAUGCCAGUUUCUAUUUGUACAUCUGAUUACCUUUGCACAUGAAUGAUAAGUCUCCUGUGGGGGGUGGAUUGCAUGUGCAUGUAAUGAUUUGUGUUUUGAUAAAUGUGUCUGGUGUAUGUGUGUGUGUUCCUGUGCUUGGGGAUGCUUCCUUCCUUGGACUUACAAGCCCUGACACACACAUGCUGGCAAAAUGCUGCUGCUUGACCCG
rnacentral:rRNA from 1 species